rnacentral:rRNA from 1 species
GAGCCUGAGAAACGGCUACCACAUCCAAGGAUGGCAGCAGGCGCGCAAAUUACCCAAUCCCGACACGGGGAGGUAGUGACAAUAAAUAACAAUACGGGGUUCUUUCGGAUCUCGUAAUUGGAAUGAGUACAAUUUAAAUCUCUUAACGAGGAACAAUUGGAGGGCAAGUCUGGUGCCAGCAGCCGCGGUAAUUCCAGCUCCAAUAGCGUAUANNNAAGUUGUUGCAGUUAAAAAGCUCGUAGUUGAAUUUCGGGGUUAGUAGGUUGGUCAUGCCUCUGGUAUGUACUGGUCUCACUGAUUCCUCCUUCCUUAUGAACCGUAAUGCCAUUAAUUUGGUGUUGCGGGGAAUUUGGACUGUUACUUUGAAAAAAUUAGAGUGUUUAAAGCAGGCUCACGCUUGAAUACAUUAGCAUGGAAUAAUGAAAUAGGACAUCCGAUUCUAUUUUGUUGGUUUCUAGGAUCGAUGUAAUGAUUAAUAGGGAUAGUUGGGGGCAUUAGUAUUCAAUUGUCAGAGGUGAAAUUCUUGGAUUUAUUGAAGACUAACUACUGCGAAAGCAUUUGCCAAGGAUGUUUUCAUUAAUCAAGAACGAAAGUUAGGGGAUCGAAGACGAUCAGAUACCGUCGUAGUCUUAACCAUAAACUAUGCCGACUAGGGAUCGGAUGAUGUUAAUUUUUUAAUGACUCAUUCGGCGCCUUACGGGAA